ensembl:snoRNA small nucleolar RNA, H/ACA box 18
GUUGAGGUCUAUCCCGAUGGGGCUUUGUCUGUAGACCUACAUCGUUGGAAACGCCUCAUAGAGUAAAUAACAUGCUUUCUUUUACUCACAGAACUAUGUGUUAGAUCUGUGGGAAGGAAUGGCAAGACAGCU